UUGUCCUCUGUGGUUUCACUCUUACAGUAAUUUAAAUGCCCAGCAACUUCCAUCUGCAUGACAAGCCACCCUUUCUUCAGCCCUUAAUCCCUCUCCUCCUGCUCUGAAAAUUUCUUUCCACAGCUCCCCAGGGUCUCAAGGCCCGACUCAGGAUGAGAAAGCAAAAAUGGAGGUAAACUCACUCUCCAGAGCAGAGGACAGAGGAGCAGCUGAGAGGCCAAGUCCACCCCUGGCAUGAUCUCCAUCCACCAUCUCUGCUCCCCUUGCGUCCCUGGGUGAGAGGCCUUCUCUCCUCUCAUCUGGUCAGCUCACAGUCUCAGACCCAGAAGCAAGCCCUAUCGCCUACCCUCCUCAGUGUCCCAUCAGUCUGGCUCUGUAGCCUAGAGAGACCUGAACUUUCGAUUCUCCGGCCUGGUCUCCCAAGUGUCACUGGGCAGCUGGAGUAGAAGAUCAUCUCCCUGCAAGAUGACAGGUUGGUGUGGGCCAUCACACUGCAGGAAGUUUGUUGGCCUUUUGAACUCUGCAGGGCAAGACCAAACACCUCCUCCUCCUGAGUGCCAAGUAAUCUGGAUCUGGAAUCCCCAUCCCUAGUGCGGUUUAGCAGGCUACAGUCAUGGAGCUUAUAGAUCUGUGUGGGGACCUAAAGGCCCCACCUUGCAGAGGUCCGAGAGGAAGUUGCUGGGGCGUGGCCUGAAUUGUUUGAAAAGUCUGAAGGAUACUUACACUGCUGAGGACUGCAUGAUCAGCGUGUGACCAUCCUUAAGAUACAU